AUGAACGCUGGCGGCGUGCCUAAUACAUGCAAGUCGAACGCUGGAGAUCUAGCUUGCUAGAUCGAAGGAGUGGCGAACGGGUGAGUAAUACAUAAGCAACCUACCCACGAAGACUGGGAUAAUCUCUGGAAACGGGGACUAAUACCGGAUAGGUAAUCGGAAGGCAUCUUCUGGUUAUUAAAGGUUAAAAACACUGGUGGAUGGGCUUAUGGCGCAUUAGUUAGUUGGUGAGGUAACGGCCCACCAAGACGAUGAUGCGUAGCCGGCCUGAGAGGGUGAACGGCCACAUUGGGACUGAGACACGGCCCAGACUCCUACGGGAGGCAGCAGUAGGGAAGUUUCGGCAAUGGGGGCAACCCUGACCGAGCAACGCCGCGUGAGUGAAGACGGCCUUCGGGUUGUAAAGCUCUGUUGUAAGGGAAGAACGGUAGAUAGAGAAUAUCUAAGUGACGGUACCUGACCAGAAAGCCACGGCUAACUACGUG
rnacentral:rRNA from 1 species